AAAUCAGAUUCCCAGUUCUACUUCCUGGAUUUCGGGGCUCUGACUCCAAGCUCUCAGAGUUCAUUUGGGAAUCAUUCCAAGACUCCUUCCAUGAAUCUCCUCAUUGCUUCUCAGCCUGCUCCCCUGGUUUACCCUGCCAGGAUCUCCCUACAGCCAUCAACCAUCACCUGCCUGUACCUCCUCCAGUGUUCCACCGUCUCACAAGAAUCCUCCUGGAGGAAAGAACAAGAAAAUCAUUACCAACAAAAGGCAGAUCACAACCAACUGCUGAUCUCAGCCUCGGUGGGUAAACUCACCUUCCUCCCUUGGAGCUCCAACAUCUCUCCAGCAAUCUCCUGGGCCUGAUUUCUGCUCGGAGGCAGUGUAUCUGGAGCCUGCUGCAGAUGGGGGAGCAGGAGAGGUUAUGCUCUGACGCCGCCCGCAGAAAAGGAGGAGAAAGCCUGGUUCUGGGAGACGAAUCGGAGCUGCACCAUGCCUUCAUCAAUGUGCAUGAAAGACCGGCUUCCGGAAAUAUAUUUCUGUCGCCUGUGCCAGAUAAGCAUGUUUCGUGUCAGUGUUUGUGCGGCGUGGUUUUGAGAAGACGUUGCAUUCAUUACAAGGUGUUAGAGUGGCUCUUGUAAUUUUAAUUCACAUUAACAUACUAUUGCUGCUAGGAUCCAUCAACACCUCAAUCGCGUAUAACGACCAAUUUGAGGAUAUUACAUUAGCCCUCCUCAGAGUUGGCAGGUGAGAAUUCAGUGCAGAAA